UGAGGAACAUGACCUUCGGCGGGGGAUAGCCGGCCCAACGGCCGGGUAAUACCGCGUACGACCUUUUGGGGACAUCCCCGAUUGGUGAAAGCAGCAAUGCGCCGAAAGAGUGCCUCGCGGCCUAUCAGCUAGUUGGUGGGGUAAUGGCUCACCAAGGCGACGACGGGUAGCUGGUCUGAGAGGAUGGCCAGCCACAUUGGGACUGAGACACGGCCCAGACUCCGUACGGGNGCAGCAGG
rnacentral:rRNA from 1 species